GACAGAGGUCCCGAGCGUUAGGCGGAAUCACUGGGCUUCAAGCGUGUGUCGGCGGAUGCCUAAGUACCUUGUGAAAUCCCACGGCUCACCCGUGGAACUGCUUGGUAUACUGGGUGUCUUGAGCCACUUAGGGGCUACCGGAACAAAUGGUGGAGCGGUGAAAUGCUUAGAUAUGACAUAGAACACCAAUUGCGAAGGCAGCUCGCUACACGAAGAUUGACUCUGAGGCACGAAAGCGUGGGGAUCAAACAGG
rnacentral:rRNA from 1 species